rnacentral:rRNA from 1 species
GACGAACGCUGGCGGCGUGCUUAACACAUGCAAGUCGAACGGAAAGGCCCUGCUUUUGUGGGGUGCUCGAGUGGCGAACGGGUGAGUAACACGUGAGUAACCUGCCCUUGACUUUGGGAUAACUUCAGGAAACUGGGGCUAAUACCAGAUAGGAGCUCCUGCUGCAUGGUGGGGGUUGGAAAGUUUCGGCGGUUGGGGAUGGACUCGCGGCUUAUCAGCUUGUUGGUGGGGUAGUGGCUUACCAAGGCUUUGACGGGUAGCCGGCCUGAGAGGGUGACCGGCCACAUUGGGACUGAGAUACGGCCCAGACUCCUACGGGAGGCAGCAGUGGGGAAUAUUGCACAAUGGGCGGAAGCCUGAUGCAGCAACGCCGCGUGCGGGAUGACAGCCUUCGGGUUGUAAACCGCUUUCGCCUGUGACGAAGCGUGAGUGACGGUAAUGGGUAAAGAAGCACCGGCUAACUACGUG